GAGGAGCUGAGCUGUUACUGAACUAUAGAAGAGAGAGGAACUUCUAGAUUCAACAGAGAUCAAUACACACACCAUCAACAUUACCUUUAUUCAACAUGCUGCCACUGCAGCAUUGGGGGUUUUCUCUGAUGUUUCUCUCCAUCUUCACAGGAGUCAGCUGUGAAGAUCUCACUCCAGUAGAGAAAGAAGAGAACAGUUUAGAAGACAGCUCUGUUACUCUGUCCUACAGAUACUCCAGACAAGCUACUAGUGGUGAUGAUUUCUUCUGGUAUCGACAAUAUCCAGGAAAACCACCAGAGUUCCUCCUGUACAUUUCAGGGCUUGGUUUUACGAGACCAGGAGAGUCUCUCCAAUCAGACUCUAGGUUCUCUACUAAACUGUCUGAAGAAAAGCAUGGUGUGGAUCUCCAGAUCUCCUCUGCUGCAGUGCCAGACUCUGCUGUGUACUACUGUGCUGUGAGGCCCACAGUGACAGCAAACCCACAGUCUCUGUACAAAAACACAAGCUGA